GCCGGGGUAGCUCAGUCGGUAGAGCAGCGGACUGAAAAUCCGCGUGUCGGUGGUUCGAUUCCGCCCCCCGGCACCU
rnacentral:tRNA from 3 species